UACGAGGGGGGCAAGCGUUGUUCGGAAUUAUUGGGCGUAAAGGGUGCGUAGGCGGUUUGGUAAGUCUUGUGUGAAAUCUUCGGGCUCAACUCGAAGUCUGCACGAGAAACUGCCGGGCUUGAGUAUGGGAGAGGUGAGUGGAAUUCCCGGUGUAGCGGUGAAAUGCGUAGAUAUCUGGAGGAACACCGGUGGCGAAGGCGGCAUCCUGGACCGGUAUUGACGCUGAGGCGCGAAAGCCAGGGGAGCAAACGGG
rnacentral:rRNA from 1 species